GGGCUGCAACGUGCAGCACUACACCCUUUGUGACAUACCUAACUGUUGCUUCGGCGGGCAGGGGGUCCCCCCGGGGACGCCCUCCCGGCCCCGCCCCCCUACCAGGGGACGUGGCGCCCGCCGGAGGAUACCUAACUCUAUUUUAACGACGUUUCUUCUGAGUGGCACAAGCAAAUAAUUAAAACUUUUAACAACGGAUCUCUUGGUUCUGGCAUCGAUGAAGAACGCAGCGAAAUGCGAUAAGUAAUGUGAAUUGCAGAAUUCAGUGAAUCAUCGAAUCUUUGAACGCACAUUGCGCCCGCCAGCAUUCUGGCGGGCAUGCCUGUUCGAGCGUCAUUUCAACCCUCAAGCUCUGCUUGGUGUUGGGGCCCUACGGUUGACGUAGGCCCUCAAAGGUAGUGGCGGACCCUCCCGGAGCCUCCUUUGCGUAGUAACUAACGUCUCGCAUCGGGAUCCGGAGGGACUCUUGCCGUAAAACCCCCCAAUUUUUCAAUGGUUGACCUCGGAUCAGGUAGGAAUACCCGCUGAACUUAAGCAUAUCAUAAGGCGGGAGGA
rnacentral:rRNA from 1 species